rnacentral:rRNA from 1 species
GACGUAGGGCGCGAGCGUUGUCCGGAUUUAUUGGGCGUAAAGAGCGUGUAGGCGGCUUGGUAGGUCCGCUGUGAAAACUCGAGGCUCAACCUCGAGAUGUCGGCGGAAACCACUUGGCUAGAGUCCGGAAGAGGAGAGUGGAAUUCCUGGUGUAGCGGUGAAAUGCGCAGAUAUCAGGAAGAACACCUAUGGCGAAGGCAGCUCUCUGGGACGGUACUGACGCUGAGACGCGAAAAGCGUGGGGAGCGAACAGG